rnacentral:lncRNA from 12 species
GGAGGGGGCGCUGCUCGCGGCGGGCGGGCGGCCGGGGCUGAAGUACAGGCUGUCCCCGGCAGCCGGCGGAGUCAGCGCGCCCACGUGACGGCCCCGGCUCUCCGGUGAGCUCCCCAAACAGACGCACACCCAGCCACACGCGCGCACACACACGCACGCACCCCCGCGCGCACACGCCCGCCCGCUCUGCCUCUGCGCCCUCCAUCCCGGCUCGCUCCUUCCCUCGCCCUCUCGCCUCCCCUGCGGUCUCUCGCUCUGCGCGCACACCCCGCACACACGCACACGCACACACACGCGCGCACACACGCAGCCGGCACAGGCGGCGGCGGCGGCGGCGGCGGCGGCGGCUGCCCAAGUCAGGACGAACCUCUGUAGGCACCGUCUCGAGAAGGCGGCGGCGGCGGCGGCAGCCCGAGCAUCCCGAGCAUCCCGAGCAUCCCGAGCAUCCCGAGCAUCCCGAGCAUCCCGAGCAUCCCUCGUCUCCCCGAGAGCGAGCACCGCCGAGAGUUUGCGUUCCCUUCGCCGUUCCCUUCCCCCCCCCCACCUCCUUUUCUUUAUUUCGGAGAGCGUUUCCUCCUCGCUUAUUGGUUUUAAUUUGAUUUUGAAAAUUUUGGGUUGCUUUUGUGUGUGUGCCUUUUUUUUUUUCUUUCUUUUCCCCCCUUUCCUCAUUUUAUUUGCAUCCAGAGCAUGGCGUGCUGCGGGCUGUCGGAAGACACCUUCUUCUCUUCCUUCUUUUACAACUACGGCUCCUCCUGGGAAACCCCCUCCAGCCAGCAGGAUCCCACAGGCAGAAAGGGGCAGGGGAAUACAAAUCUGAAAGGGAACUGAAAGGACACAGAAACAAUGAGGUUGUUACGAGACAAAGUAAACGAGAGCUGGAGGAGGAGCAGAAAGGCCGGGGAAUGGGUCUGGAAACUACCAUUUCCUGAGCACCUGCUAGGGGCCAGGCACUCAGGUGACUACAGGGACCCGGCAGGGAGGGACGCGGGUGGGGACGGGUGGGGGGUGUCACCCUGUCGGCUGGUCACAGCCUCCUUCGUUCCCAGAGUGUCUCUCUAAUCAACCAGUGCUGUUUCUAAUAAGCAGGAAUUUGUAUGUUGUGAACCGGGAAAUCUAUGCUGCUCGGCAGAGGCAGGUGCCUUCUCAGCUCCCAUCCAUCGUGGCCAGGUAGGAGAGCAUGAGGAGCGAUGAGCUCCGAGUGUUCAAGAGAAGAGAAUGUUCCAGGGGUGUGUGUGUGUGUGUGUGUGUGUGUGUGUGAAAUCUCCUGAUUUUUCAGCGUUGGCAACAAAACUAAAAACUUUAAAAAUUAAAUAACGCCACCUUUGAGAUGAGUGAGUGGAGCUGGUGGCUUAGGGCUUGUGUCCUGAGCGGUGCGGGACUUGGCCAGACUCACUCUCAGCCCAGCCCCACAGGCGGGGUACGCUCUUCCCUUUCACAGGAAUCAGAGGGAUUAAAUAAAUGACAAUGCACUUGGAAGAACGUGGCUUCA